GAUGACCAUAUCCUUACGAUGAUUAUUGGAAAUUCGUGCAUCAUUGUGCUCUAGCCCAGACAAACAAUUCAAAACACUGGCUACUUCGCCAAUUCUUUCUAAACGGACCCACUACGUUAUAAAUAUCUUUCAACAAAAUCAGUUCUUACAAAAUCUGCGAAGUGGCUGGUUCGAUUUCGUUUUUCUCGCGUAUUAUUGGAAAUUCGCGUAUCAUUGUGCUCUAGCCUAGGCAAAAAAUACAAGACACUGGCUACUUCACCAAAUCUUUCUACAUUCGUGUAGCUUUUGGUGCUUUGAUGCUGUGUCUGUUCAUAUAUGUACCACCUAUGGUACUCGUGAAGAAAUCAUCCACCAAAAAUAAUUACACCAUUAUUUGCAGCAAUUAAAUACAGUGGAUUUUUAUUUAUUACCUCGACAUCACUACUACCCAAGACACCUUGGGCACCACGGAGGAGUUUCCAGCCUUUUGAAAGGCCGAAAGGUGCCCAAAACAUAAUGAAUAGUAGUAAUAUAUGAGCCCGAACACUUCGCGAUCUUCACAAAAGCGCUCAGGAAAAACACUGGGGCUCGGACAUGGGUGCCAAAAAAAUGUGAUUCAUUACCUCGACGCCACUACCACUGGAAACACCUUGGACAUCUCAGAGGUGAGGUCAACCUUUUGAAGGCCGAAAGAUACCAAAAAAAUUUAAAACAUUAAUUUACUUGAAUGUAUGUAUUGUAUUUUCAAUUUUCAUCAAAUACUUAAUUUUUUUCUCUUUCGAUUUUUUGUAAUUUUUGAAAAUAAAGUAACAUUAUUUUUUAAUUUCAAGCGUGUUUUGUCUUUUUAUUUAAAAAAACAUACUUUUUGUGACGGAGUUCGGAGUAAAAAAAAAUCACGACAAAUAUCUCUUAGUUUCAGGGUAGUAUAUGAGCCCGAACGAUAUGAUAACAAGGCUUGAUUCAUAUUUCUUCGAAAUGAAGGUAAGUUUUUUCACCCUCUAAUUUCUGGUCAGAGAAAAGAAAAGGAGAUAAUGAUCAAUCUCCAGCAAAGCAAGGGCGAAAGUUGUGAAAAAUUGAUAAUUCAAAAACGUAAACAACUUUAUUUUUGAAUACGCAAGA